UGGGGAAUAUUGGACAAUGGGGGCAACCCUGAUCCAGCAAUGCCGCGUGUGUGAAGAAGGUCUUCGGAUUGUAAAGCACUUUCGACGGGGACGAUGAUGACGGUACCCGUAGAAGAAGCCCCGGCUAACUUCGUGCCAGCAGCCGCGGUAAUACGAAGGGGGCUAGCGUUGCUCGGAAUGACUGGGCGUAAAGGGCGUGUAGGCGGUUUACACAGUCAGAUGUGAAAUCCCCGGGCUUAACCUGGGAGCUGCAUUUGAUACGUGUAGACUAGAGUGUGAGAGAGGGUCGUGGAAUUCCCAGUGUAGAGGUGAAAUUCGUAGAUAUUGGGAAGAACACCGGUGGCGAAGGCGGCAACCUGGCUCAUGACUGACGCUGAGGCGCGAAAGCGUGGGGAGCAAACAGGAUUAGAUACCCUGGUAGUCCACGCUGUAAACGAUGUGUGCUAGAUGUUGGGUAACUUUGUUAUUCAGUGUCGCAGUUAACGCGUUAAGCAC
rnacentral:rRNA from 1 species